rnacentral:rRNA from 1 species
GGGAUAACACUUAGAAAUAGGUGCUAAUACCGCAUGAGCGUACAGCUCCGCAUGGAGCGGUGUGAAAAACUCCGGUGGUAUACGAUGGAUCCGCGUCUGAUUAGCCAGUUGGCGGGGUAACGGCCCACCAAAGCGACGAUCAGUAGCCGGCCUGAGAGGGUGAACGGCCACAUUGGGACUGAGACACGGCCCAGACUCCUACGGGAGGCAGCAGUGGGGAAUAUUGCACAAUGGGGGAAACCCUGAUGCAGCGACGCCGCGUGAGUGAAGAAGUAUCUCGGUAUGUAAAGCUCUAUCAGCAGGAAAGAUAAUGACGGUACCUGACUAAGAAGCCCCGGCUAACUACGUGCCAGCAGCCGCGGUAAUACGUAGGGGGCAAGCGUUAUCCGGAUUUACUGGGUGUAAAGGGAGCGUAGACGGCAGCGCAAGUCUGGAGUGAAAUGCCGGGGCCCAACCCCGGAACUGCUUUGGAAACUGUGCGGCUCGAGUGCGGGAGAGGUAGGCGGAAUUCCUAGUGUAGCGGUGAAAUGCGUAGAUAUUAGGAGGAACACCAGUGGCGAAGGCGGCUUACUGGACCGUAACUGACGUUGAGGCUCGAAAGCGUGGGGAGCAAACAGGAUUAGAUACCCUGAUAGUCCACGCCGUAAACGAUGAUUACUAGGUGUCGG